rnacentral:lncRNA from 10 species
ACACAAAACAAUUUUCAACCAGAAAUGUAGAUGAGUGAGGAUUCUGACGUACCUAGAAUAUUUGGAUGACUGCUGCUUGAAUGGAUGGCCUUGAGACACCUGAAGACCCUGAUGUGCCUUCUGAAUCAUACCACGAUUCAAUUACAUCCAUCAUUUAACAACAACAACAACUCUAGAAGGCUCUGUGUAUCUCCGACCCUUGCGAACAUCGCACC